rnacentral:rRNA from 1 species
UACGGAGGGUGCGAGCGUUUAUCCGGAUUCACUGGGUUUAAAGGGUGCGUAGGUGGGAAUGUAAGUCAGUGGUGAAAUCUCCGUGCUUAACACGGAAACUGCCAUUGAUACUAUGUUUCUUGAAUUUUCUGGAGGUUAGCGGAAUAUGUCAUGUAGCGGUGAAAUGCUUAGAUAUGACAUAGAACACCGAUUGCGAAGGCAGCUAACUACAGGGAUAUUGACACUGAGGCACGAAAGCGUGGGGAUCAAACAGG